rnacentral:misc_RNA from 1 species
GUGAAAUUUGGGCGUCUCUUCCAUAGAGAGCCUGUCUUCCACAUUUAACCCUGUGCACUUGGCGCUAGUCUCGUGCGCUUGUCAGUCGGGCUCAGUUUCCUUUGGAAGCCGGGCCGGCGAAAACCUUUUUUAACGCAAGUUGAUGAAUGUAACAUAAAAACCAAACCAAAUA